GACAGAGGAUGCAAGCGUUGUCCGGAUUUAUUGGGCGUAAAGAGCGUGUAGGCGGCCAGGUAGGUCAGCUGUGAAAACUCGAGGCUCAACCUCGAGACGUCGGUUGAAACCACCUGGCUAGAGUCCGGAAGAGGAGAGUGGAAUUCCUGGUGUAGCGGUGAAAUGCGCAGAUAUCAGGAAGAACACCCGUGGCGAAGGCGGCUCUCUGGGACGGUACUGACGCUGAGACGCGAAAGCGUGGGGAGCGAACAGG
rnacentral:rRNA from 1 species